rnacentral:rRNA from 1 species
GACGAACGCUGGCGGCGUGCCUAAUACAUGCAAGUCGAGCGGAUGACAGAGGAGCUUGCUCCUCUAGAUUCAGCGGCGGACGGGUGAGUAACACGUGGGCAACCUGCCCUGUAGAUUGGGAUAACUCCGGGAAACCGGGGCUAAUACCGAAUAAUCCUUCGGACCUCAUGGUCCGAUGUUGAAAGACGGCUUCGGCUGUCACUACAGGAUGGGCCCGCGGCGCAUUAGCUAAUUGGUGAGGUAACGGCUCACCAAGGCCACGAUGCGUAGCCGACCUGAGAGGGUGAUCGGCCACACUGGGACUGAGACACGGCCCAGACUCCUACGGGAGGCAGCAGUAGGGAAUCUUCCACAAUGGACGAAAGUCUGAUGGAGCAACGCCGCGUGAGUGAAGAAGGUUCUCGGAUCGUAAAACUCUGUUGUGAGGGAAGAACAAGUACCGGAGUAACUGCCGGUACCUUGACGGUACCUCAUUAGAAAGCCACGGCUAACUACGUGCCAGCAGCCGCCGUAACAC